rnacentral:rRNA from 1 species
AACAGGAUUAGAUACCCUGGUAGUCCACGCCGUAAACGAUGUCGACUUGGAGGUUGUGCCCUUGAGGCGUGGCUUCCGGAGCUAACGCGUUAAGUCGACCGCCUGGGGAGUACGGCCGCAAGGUUAAAACUCAAAUGAAUUGACGGGGGCCCGCACAAGCGGUGGAGCAUGUGGUUUAAUUCGAUGCAACGCGAAGAACCUUACCUACUCUUGACAUCCAGAGAACUUAGCAGAGAUGCUUCGGUGCCUUCGGGAACUCUGAGACAGGUGCUGCAUGGCUGUCGUCAGCUCGUGUUGUGAAAUGUUGGGUUAAGUCCCGCAACGAGCGCAACCCUUAUCCUUUGUUGCCAGCGGUUAGGCCGGGAACUCAAAGGAGACUGCCAGUGAUAAACUGGAGGAAGGUGGGGAUGACGUCAAGUCAUCAUGGCCCUUACGAGUAGGGCUACACACGUGCUACAAUGGCAUAUACAAAGAGAAGCGACCUCGCGAGAGCAAGCGGACCUCAUAAAGUAUGUCGUAGUCCGGAUUGGAGUCUGCAACUCGUCUCCAUGAAGUCGGAAUCGCUAGUAAUCGUGGAUCAGAAUGCCACGGUGAAUACGUUCCCGGGCCUUGUACACACCGCCCGUCACACCAUGGGAGUGGGUUGCAAAAGAAGUAGGUAGCUUAACCUUCGGGAGGGCGCUUACCACUUUGUGAUUCAUGACUGGGGUGAAGUCGUAACAAGGUAACC